GACGAACGCUGGCGGCGUGCCUAAUACAUGCAAGUAGAACGCCGAAGAGAGGAGCUUGCUCUUCUUGGAUGAGUUGCGAACGGGUGAGUAACGCGUAGGUAACCUGCCUUGUAGCGGGGGAUAACUAUUGGAAACGAUAGCUAAUACCGCAUAACAAUGUAUGACACAUGUCAUUUAUUUGAAAGGGGCAAUUGCUCCACUACAAGAUGGACCUGCGUUGUAUAGCUAGUAGGUGAGGUAACGGCUCACCUAGGCGACGAUACAUAGCCGACCUGAGAGGGUGAUCGGCCACACUGGGACUGAGACACGGCCCAGACUCCUACGGGAGGCAGCAGUAGGGAAUCUUCGGCAAUGGGGGCAACCCUGACCGAGCAACGCCGCGUGAGUGAAGAAGGGUUUCGGAUCGUAAAGCUCUGUUGUAAGUCAAGAACGAGUGUGAGAGUGGAAAGUUCACACUGUGACGGUAGCUUACCAGAAAGGGACGGCUAACUACGUG
rnacentral:rRNA from 1 species